rnacentral:rRNA from 1 species
CCUUCAAUUAAAAGACUAAUGAUUAUGCUACCUUUGCACAGUUAAAAUACUGCGGCCAUUUAAAAACUNCAGUGGGCAGGUUAGCUUUUUAACUAAAAAAUAAAAUUUUAUAAAUAUUUUAAUUGAAACAGUUAAUAUCUCAUCCAACCAUUCAUACCAGUAAAAAUAAAAAUUUUCUAAAUAAUUUAAAAUAAAAAAAAUAUAAAGAUUUAUAGGGUCUUCUCGUCUAUUAAUAACAUUAAUUAUUCAUUAAUUAAUGUAAACUAUUAAUUAAAAGUUUAGUAAAUUUUAAUAUCACCCCAAUAAAAUAUCUUCAUUAAUUUUAUCAAUAUGAACUCUCUAAAAAAAUUACGCUGUUAUCCCUAAAGUAACUUAAUUUUAUAAUCAUAAUUCAUGGAUCAAAUUUAUAUCUUAAUCCAACAUCGAGGUCGCAAUCUU